UACUUGUGCUAUGCCUUGGUCAUAACUGGAGCCUGUAUCACGCCUCAAAAAAGUUCUACUACGUAACUGUUACUGAAUGAUUAAGUGAAUGAAGUAACAGAUGAAUACAUGAAUGCACAUCAAAUGAAUGGGCAUUACCAAAGAUGAGCCACCAAGUGGAUCUUGGAGGAAAAAGAACUUUUAAUCAAAGGAUUAAAAGUUUCUAAGUGUGGUUGAUUAGGGAAGAUCAUAGCAUUGUUGAUUGAACUGCCUGGCACCUAAUAAGUACUCAGUUUUCUCUCUACACUUCUCCCUAGUCUGAGAAGCUGACCAGUAUGGACUGUGCCUUCAGGCUUUCUUGCCCUCUGGCUUUUGGUUGAAUUUGGCCAAUGGGAAGCCCCAGCAGGAAAUCAGAAAGAGAGGCGAGAGAGGAUUCUCUGAGUAUUGAUUCCCCUGGCUUCCUCCCUGUGUGAUCACUUUGGCUGGCUGGAUACCUCAAUGGAAAGACACUGUUCUUCUGGAGGAGGCCUUCUCUGUAGACUCUUUCCUUCCAGUUUCAGCAACCUUGAUCUGCUCCUUCUGACUCCUUCACAUCUAGGGGUGGUAACAGCUCUGUUGUCACUAGCCAAGUGUCACUGCACUAUUCUCUGUGAUUCCCCCACAUCCCACCCAUGCUUUUGUAAAUAGUCUCUUUAUACAUAAACGCUCCUCGAAUUAUUCUGAGAAUACUGUUUCCUGCUGAGUCAUCGGACCAAAUUAUUUCUCCUUUGAGACAAUGGAGAAAUUUUGAACAUGAAGUAAACAUUAUAAGCUAUUAAGGAGUUAUUGUUGAUUUUAUCGGGUGCGAUAAUGGUGUAAUUGUUAUAUAAAAAUAAUCCUUACCAGUUAGAGAUACACACUUAAGUAUUUAUUGGAAUGACAUGUCUAGGAAUUAUUUAAAAAAAAUAGUGCAUUUAAGAGCUGGGUGCCAGGUGAGAAAUAACAGAAAAGUAGGGGAAUAGAUUAUCAAAUAUUACCAAGAUUAUCAAAUAUUAUCAAGAUUAUAGAAACGUUGAUAGUUAAAGCAGAGUGAUGGGUAUAGGAGGGUUCAUUACACUAUUUUCUCAAUUGUGUGCAAGAUGGAAAAUUUCUAUAAUAAAAUGUUAGAACAACCAAUCUCUUAUUUUUUUUUCUUAGAUGAGAUUUAGUUUGCAAUUUUUCAUGAGAGAGAUAGGUACACAAGAUCUGAAUUUACCGCAAAUAAAAAUUUUAAGGGUGUGUUUAAAGUGUGGCAAUGUAUAUAUCUUUCUACAUGCUAUUCUUUCUUGCAGAGAAAAAUUGAUGAGGAAAGUGCAUAAGUAAACUGGAUGUAACUUUUUUCUCUUUAGAUAUUCAGGUGGUCACUCAAUUAACUCAAUCAAUCUGCCUGUGGGCACCUGCUGAGGGAGGGUGGAGACAGUCUGGGGCGAGGAAGAGAGGGGCCAUGAAAGGUUAAAUGUGCUAGGCCUAGAGUUUCUGUCGUCUGCAUCUUUUGCGCUAUUCAGAGUCAGUCUGCACCCUCAAUGAGUGAACUGUUAUUGCUUAGAGCUUUCUUUUUGUAUUUUUUUUUUUAGUUUUUGGUAAUAAAUCCUAAUAAUGGAGCAAAUUAUGCAUGAAAUUGUCCAUUAUUUAUAAUUACUUCAGGAGAUUUAGUUGCUCCUGGGGCAGUUUAGGAAGCAAACAUUACAAUUCCUUCUGCAAUAAAUUUUGCCUAACCAAAGGAAGUAUGGUACUGGAUUGGUUCUGCUUCAGUAGCAUUUUUGCUUCUCAAACACCAUAGAUAAGAGAAUUUUGUAGAUAUUCGAGAAGAAUGAAAGAAUACAAAUUGAAAGACAUACAUAUCUUGCCACCAAAAUAGUCUUCCUUUUAUUUGAAGCAAGUAGCUUACAAAAAUAAGGAA
rnacentral:lncRNA from 1 species